AUUGAACGCUGGCGGCAGGCCUAACACAUGCAAGUCGAGCGAUCGGCGGACGGGUGAGUAAUGUAUGGGGACUGCCCGAUAGAGGGGGAUAACUACUGGAAACGGUGGCUAAUACCGCAUACUAUCGGAUAACCCAUAUGGGAUUAGCUAGUAGGUAAGGUAAUGGCUUACCUAGGCGACGAUCACUAGCGGGUCUGAGAGGAUGAUAAGACACACGGGGACUGGGACACGGCCAGGAUGCCUACGGAGGCAGCAGUGGGGAAUAUUGGACAAUGGGCGAAAGCCUGAUGCAGCCAUGCCGCGUGUAUGAAGAAGGCCCUAGGGUUGUAAAGUACUUUCAGUCGGGAGGCGUUACCGACAGAAGAAGCACCGGCUAACUCCGUGCCAGCAGCCGCGGUAAUUC
rnacentral:rRNA from 1 species